AAGUAAAAGUCGUAACAAGG
rnacentral:ncRNA from 2 species